GACGAACGCUGGCGGCGUGCUUAACACAUGCAAGUCGAACGGAAAGGCCCUGCUUUUGUGGGGUGCUCGAGUGGCGAACGGGUGAGUAACACGUGAGUAACCUGCCCUUGACUUUGGGAUAACUUCAGGAAACUGGGGCUAAUACCGGAUAGGAGCUCCUGCUGCAUGGUGGGGGUUGGAAAGUUUCGGCGGUUGGGGAUGGACUCGCGGCUUAUCAGCUUGUUGGUGGGGUAGUGGCUUACCAAGGCUUUGACGGGUAGCCGGCCUGAGAGGGUGACCGGCCACAUUGGGACUGAGAUACGGCCCAGACUCCUACGGGAGGCAGCAGUGGGGAAUAUUGCACAAUGGGCGGAAGCCUGAUGCAGCAACGCCGCGUGCGGGAUAACGGCCUUCGAGUUGUAAACCGCUUUCGCCUGUGACGAAGCGUGAGUGACGGUAAUGGGUAAAGAAGCACCGGCUAACUACGUG
rnacentral:rRNA from 1 species